rnacentral:rRNA from 1 species
GACGAACGCUGGCGGCGUGCUUAACACAUGCAAGUCGAACGGAAAGGCCCUGCUUUGGUGGGUUGCUCGAGUGGCGAACGGGUGAGUAACACGUGAGUAACCUGCCCUUGACUUUGGGAUAACUUCAGGAAACUGGGGCUAAUACCGGAUAGGAGCUCCGGCUGCAUGGGGGGGGUUGGAAAGUUUCGGCGGUUGGGGAUGGACUCGCGGCUUAUCAGCUUGUUGGUGGGGUAGUGGCUUACCAAGGCUUUGACGGGUAGCCGGCCUGAGAGGGUGACCGGCCACAUUGGGACUGAGAUACGGCCCAGACUCCUACGGGAGGCAGCAGUGGGGAAUAUUGCACAAUGGGCGGAAGCCUGAUGCAGCAACGCCGCGUGCGGGAUGACGGCCUUCGGGUUGUAAACCGCUUUCGCCUGUGACGAAGCGUGAGUGACGGUAAUGGGUAAAGAAGCACCGGCUAACUACGUG